UCAUGCCCAAGGUGUAGGCGAGGCGGGAGGCAUGGCGCCGGAAGGUUGCUGCUCUACACGGGCCUCUCGCUAGCGCUCUGCGCCCUCGGCAUGCUGGCCGUGGCCAUCUGCUCGGACCACUGGUACGAGACGGACGCCAGGAAGCACAGGGACAGGUGCAAGGCCUUCAACACCCGCCGGGUGGACCCCGGCUUCAUUUACAACAACAACAACAACUUGCCGCUCCGGGCCAGCCGCUCGCGCCUGGACCGCUGGGAGGGCAAACUCCUCCGGGCCCGGAACCGCCGGCAGCUCUUCGCCAUGAGCCCGGCAGACGAGUGCAGCCGGCAGUACAACUCCACCAACAUGGGCCUCUGGAGGAAAUGCCACCGGCAGGGAUUCGACCCCGAGAUCGCCGCCCUCAUUCGGAAGGGAGAAAUUGAGCGAUGCACAUACAUCAAGUACCACUACUCCUCAGCAACCAUCCCCAGGAACCUCACAUUCAACAUCACGAAGACCAUCCGUCAGGACGAGUGGCAUGCCCUGCGUGACGGAACCACUGAGCUAAAUCCCUGUUCCACUGAACACUCUUUUCUGGAUGCUGUCGCCCUGCCCACACGGCUUGCCACUCAUUUUGCUGAAGCCAGGCCAUGCUCCCAGGGGCUUUACUCUUAGCCUGAGACCCCUGGGUGUCAACCUAUCUGUUCUUACUACCUGAAGUGGUCUACCUGAUUCAAACCUGAUGCCCAGGCCACUGCAGUGGGAAGACAAGACCUUAUCCAAUAUGAAGCUGACAUCCAAGAAUUCUCUUUGGGAUGGUUCUCUUUGGAUCCUGGAGAUUCAUACAGUUUAGCAACAGAUGCGUCCAACCACCUUUUCACAUCAUGCCUGUUUGUCCAAUGUGUUUACCAAAAGUUGUUUCACUACUUUCAGUGUUUCUGUUGCUAUUAUCGCCAAUCUUGCUCGAGCAUCAUUUCUGAUUAAAAUAUGGACUUUUUAAAAAAAACACUGUGUAAGGCAACAUGACUUAAUCAAAAUGAUGUGAAGGAAAAGAAACUCUCUUUACAAGAAACCAAAGCCAUAGUUCACAUCAACCUUCACGGCUGGAUGCUACCACGUCCUUAGGAACUAUGUCAUUAUAUCUCUAGGGCCAGAGGAGA
rnacentral:lncRNA from 1 species